rnacentral:lncRNA from 1 species
GGAUUAUAAACGGGUCAGUCAUAUCUACCAAAAUCAGCUUUCAUUGACAGGUAUAUUAUACAGACCAUAAGAAAAUUAGAGCAAUCUUGAAUUGCUUUUUAUCUUUCUUGCUAUAGUUAUGGAGUGCUUCUUUUUCUUGGUAUAGACCCCCUCACCUUUAGCAUCCUAUUCUUACUCCCAUUAAAGCCCAGUGGUUAAAAUUGUGACCCUGCACACAGUGACCCGGAAACCUGAAAGAGGCAUUCGCCCUGCUGUUCUUCAGGUUGCCCGACAGAAAGCUGCGUUGCCUUUAGUUAUAAUGAAGUCGCCUGUGAUCAUAAGGCAGCCAGGCUACAGAAGAAAACUUCACCAUAGUGAAUAGUAAAGGUCUCUGCUGGCAGACAGCCGUGUGGUGGAAUCUUGGCUCUUUCACUUCCAUAAUAACUCUAUGAAAAGCCAAGCCAUUUAAUUUUUGAGAGACUCAGUUUUUUUUUUUUUUUUUUUUACAAAAAUAUACCUUUCUCAUAGAAUUGUUUUGGGAACUAAAAUAAUCUAAAGCAGCGAGUAAAAUUUUUGAC